rnacentral:lncRNA from 1 species
CUGAACUAUAGUGGAUGACGUGAUCUAACCAUAGACGAAAGAAUCGGCCAACAAAGAUACACAGAACAAAAGAUAUGGGCUUGCAAACAUGGCUAAUCAAAACUGCUGCGGCUGAAACGUUGCUCACCGGAAGACACGGAGUUCGCCGGAUUUGAAGGAGGACGGCGACGAUGUUGACCUAGGGUUCGAUGGGGCCGUGGAAGACGUCGAAGAGGACACCGUGACGCGGCUUGCGCGGUCGUAGCAUCUCUGGAUUGCGACGGGCGGAGCUCCGGGCGUGGCAUCGGCAUGGGUUCGGGGACGGCGCGACCAACAGCAUCAAGAGGUCACGAAACCUUGUCACAAAGGUAGGUAAGGGUCACAUGAGUCUACCGGUGAAAGGAAUCGAAGAACGGAGGUUCGGGGUGAUCUCACCGACAACAAUGGUGGCGGUGACCGGCGGAGGAAGACGUCGUCGUAGCCGGCUGUACAGAGGUUUUGAGGCCAAACUUUCUACAUGGGAAUGGGAGAGGAGAGGAAAAUGCUCAAAGUGACGCGCGUGGAAUUCUUUUAUAGUGGCCGAGGAGGGAGAUCGGGCAUGGAUGUCGACGGCCGACAUUCAGGGCAUCUCUUUUGGAAACUGCGAUAAUGAGAGGAAAUUUCAAAUUGAUUUCCUGAAUGGGUUCCCGGGAUGGUGAGGAUUGAUGUGGUGGUUUAUUUUUGAAGAGAGACGCGCGGGAAGGAAAGUAAUCGAAGAAAGAAAAUAUGGAAGGAGAGUAUUCCUUACGUGCAGAGGAGGAAGAAGCGCCAGCUCAGUGCUCGUGGCUGGCUGGGGCGCUCGGUCCAUUCUUUUUUUUUCCUUUUCUUUUUUUUUCCAUUUCUGUUUUUAUUAAUAAUUUUUUAUUCCUAACUCCAAAUAAGUCCAAAUAAACUGCAGUAAAUUUGUAAAUUCAAAUCCUUCAAAGUGUGAACUUUUAGGACUUAAAUCCUUUCAAAAUAAAAUAAGUAAAAAUACUUUUGCUUAUAUAAAUGUCAUUAGGGCUUUAUAAGUAAUAAACAAAAUAGAUUUUGAAAUCUAUUAUGAAACCUUUGUUUCAUAAAUUAACUUAAACUCCAAUACAAUAUUGGGUUGGCAUACUUUGCACUAAAACCCUUCCUUAGCUAAAUACCCUAUUGGAUUGAACUCCAAAUAAAAUCUCAUAAUAAUUAUACGGUUUAAUAAAAUUCUCAAAUGGCUUUAUAACACCAAAUCACAAACCAUGUAAACAUCACAUAUGUUUCCAACUAUAUAUGUUUGGGAAGUCACGUUAUCCCGCUCUCAACAAUGGAAUAAAUGUUGGAAUAACAUUUGCACAUGAGGAUGUCACGUUAUACUUUUCUCGAAUA